UGGGGAAUUUUGGACAAUGGGCGAAAGCCUGAUCCAGCAAUGCCGCGUGUGUGAAGAAGGCCUUCGGGUUGUAAAGCACUUUUGUCCGGAAAGAAAUCCUUGGCUCUAAUACAGUCGGGGGAUGACGGUACCGGAAGAAUAAGCACCGGCUAACUACGUGCCAGCAGCCGCGGUAAUACGUAGGGUGCAAGCGUUAAUCGGAAUUACUGGGCGUAAAGCGUGCGCAGGCGGUUUGCUAAGACCGAUGUGAAAUCCCCGGGCUCAACCUGGGAACUGCAUUGGUGACUGGCAGGCUAGAGUAUGGCAGAGGGGGGUAGAAUUCCACGUGUAGCAGUGAAAUGCGUAGAGAUGUGGAGGAAUACCGAUGGCGAAGGCAGCCCCCUGGGCCAAAUACUGACGCUCAUGCACGAAAGCGUGGGGAGCAAAACAGGAUUAGAUACCCCUGGUAGUCCACGCCCUAAAACGAUGUCAACUAGUUGUUGGGGGAUUC
rnacentral:rRNA from 1 species